UUGGAGCAACCGAUACUCUGCCAAAUAAAAUAUUAAAAAAACUCUUCUCUCUCUGUCGAUGAAGCAUGGCGGAACCAAAUCAGAGCCAGAUUCAUGUUCAUACUCAUCCAUGUUCUAUAGCUAAGGUAUCAGAGCCAUAUUCUUUGAUUUCGUGGAAGACGGAGACAUUGCGAUUUGAACGAUUGGAGGAUUUGAAGCUUCUUUAUCAUCGCGACUUCAAGAAAAUAAAAUUAGAAGGUGUUGCGAUUCAAGGUAGAAAGAAGAAUUGAACUGCGACUGUUCUUGGAAGAAGACGUUGUAGUUAUAGAAAGAAGAUCCAAGGAGUAAGAUCUAAUCACAUCUAUUGGUUUCUGGUUUAUGAAAUCGAUGGAAGUAAGUUUACUCUUUCUCUCUCGUCUCAAGCUCGUAAGUUAGACAUCAAUGUAAGUUCUAGUUUAAGAAUUCACAAGGAAUGAUGUUGAAAUCACGAGGUUUAUGGUCUAUGUAGUUUAGAUCGAAGUACAUCGGUUUGGGGAACAAAGAUCAUCGAAAGAUUUGAUCGAUUGAGGUGGUUUCAGGAUUGAUAGAAUCCGUAAUCCUCUAAGUUAAUAUCCUCUACUGGAAAGUUCGUGUUAUCAAACGUGAAGCAAAUUUGUUGCAAGCAUAAGAAGUGAUAAGAUCAGAGACGAAGUCGAAGACGGUUGUUACAUGAAGGUGUUCUUGUAUAUGUUAAAAGAAAUCAGUUUGAGAAUGAUGUUGUGUGAAGGCUUUCAGAUAAAUAAUUCGACUCAGGUUCAAAGGUUCCUAAACAAGCUGAUAAGAAGAGUAGAAGUCAAUAAGGAGAUAACUGGAGAAUAAGGUCUGCUGAGGAGUUAUCUGGUGCUCAUCCUGCUGAAGUACAGAGCUUUGUGCUGGCAGAGUGGGAUGUAUCUUCGAAUCACAACACGCUUUUAGAUCCUCGAAAUGGAAAGCCUUUGUGAGCAGUUUGAGAAAGGAAGAGCCAUCAAAAUUAGUAGCUGCAACAAUUUCUUCACAAUCGCUGCCUUCUGAUAGCAAGAAAGAAGAAGUUACUCCUACUGAAGCAAGCACAAUUAGGUCGUCUCUCAACAGUUCCAAGGAUGCAGAGGUCAACAACAUGACGUAGAUGCCAGUAAUGCGACGACUGAGCAGAGAGUAAACAUGGAGAACGUUCCUCCUGGUUGCAUACCCAAACCACAACUAUAGUUUUCUCAAGGAGUCGAUGGACCUUAAGAAGCAACAAACUAGACUGAAGAAUCCAUCUGAACUUAGGCCAAAAAUCAUUCACAGAUUUUAUCAACUUUAUGCCAGAUGAGAUCCUGCCCCAUAUUCUCUGCUUUAUUGGCCAUGAAAACUUCUGUGAUAUGAUUUUCUUAUCAUCAUUUCUUCUUCUCAUUAUUUUUUCUUGUUAAAUUUUCAAACCCAUUUCCAUUACACAACAAAUUUCCAUUAAGACAAAUCUUCUUUUAAGUUCUC